GACGAACGCUGGCGGCGUGCUUAACACAUGCAAGUCGAACGGUAAGGCCCUUCGGGGUACACGAGUGGCGAACGGGUGAGUAACACGUGGGUGAUCUGCCCUGCACUUCGGGAUAAGCCUGGGAAACUGGGUCUAAUACCGGAUAGGACCACUGCCUGCAUGGGUGGUGGUGGAAAGCUUCUGCGGUGUGGGAUGGGCCCGCGGCCUAUCAGCUUGUUGGUGGGGUGAUGGCCUACCAAGGCGACGACGGGUAGCCGGCCUGAGAGGGUGACCGGCCACACUGGGACUGAGGUACGGCCCAGACUCCUACGGGAGGAAGCAGUGGGGAAUAUUGCACAAUGGGCGCAAGCCUGAUGCAGCGACGCCGCGUGAGGGAUGACGGCCUUCGGGUUGUAAACCUCUUUCAGCACCGACGAAGCGCAAGUGACGGUAGGUGCAGAAGAAGGACCGGCCAACUACGUGCCAGCCGCCGCCGUAA
rnacentral:rRNA from 1 species